UUGGAGGCCGUGAUGCGUACUGAUAAGGGAUUUUCUGAGGGACGGAGGCCACCUUGUUUCCGCCCUGCUGACUGAGAGAAACCAAUGGAUCCUUCUGAGCCUGCCC